rnacentral:rRNA from 1 species
UACGGGGGGAGCAAGCGUUGUUCGGAUUUACUGGGCGUAAAGGGCGCGUAGGCGGCCAGCACAAGUCAGUUGUGAAAUCUCCGAGCUUAACUCGGAAAGGUCAACUGAUACUGUGCGGCUAGAGUGCGGAAGGGGCAACUGGAAUUCUUGGUGUAGCGGUGAAAUGUGUAGAGAUCGGGAGGAACACCGGUGGCGAAGGCGGGUCUCUGGGCAUCUCCUGACGCUGAGGCGCGAAAGCGUGGGGAGCAAACGGG